ensembl:snRNA U2 U2 spliceosomal RNA
AUCACUUCUCGGCCUUUUGGCUAAGAUCAAGUGAAGUGUAAAAAUAAGAUAAAAUAAUUUUUAAAAGUGGCACAAAAA